CGACCAACGGCUGGAGUAACACCCAUCAAAAUCAACGGUUUGGAAGCCCGUCUUCCCUUUUUCAGCGCGGAAAACCCCUUUCUCGCCCGAACUCCUUGGAUGCUCACUGAAGCUCGCAGAAUCUCUAUCUGUCUUUUCUCCAUGAGGAAGCUCGCUGAAAGCUUGGAUGGGCGCUGGAAAAAGCUUGCUGAAAAAACACUUGGGUGUUCGAAGCUCGCUGGAAGAUUGGAUGCUCGCUGAAAAAACUAGCCUCUCUCUCUAGCGCGCUGUAUCUCUCUCUCUAACUCACUGAAACUCUCUCUCUCUUUAGCCGAAAUCGAAACCCUCGAUGAAACCCUCACUCUCUCUCUAGAUCGCUAAAACUCUCUCUCUCUAUCUGAAAUUGAAACCCUCGCUGAAAUGGUUUUCUCGCUGAAACCUUCUCUAACAACUCUGGCUAGGUAAAGGAAGCCAUCACUCGCUGAAAGCUGACACUGAAAGGGUAAUUUUAGUACAUGAGAUGGAGCUCACCAUUUCAGAAAGUGUGGCAUCCUCCACAUGGCCAGAGGAUGACAACAUGGUUAGCCUAUGGAGCAAGAUCCGUUGGUUGCAUCCCUGCCCCCCAAUAAGUUCACAAAUUCCGGAAACAGGGAACAUGCGUCAUCAUCCAAGGGGACAAAAAUAGAGGAACCUUACAUAGGAAUGAAAUUCAGUUAUGAAAAUGAUGCAUUUGAGUUUUACAAGACUUUUGCAUUGGUGCAUGUGUUUGGUGUAGAAAGCAAACUACUGACAACAAUAAGGAUGGAAAGAGAACUACUAGGGAUUUUAUAUGUUCGAAGGAAAGAUUCCGCAGGGUGAAAGAAGUGUUACCUACAAAAAAAUCCCUCGGUCAAGGUGUGGAUGUCCAGCAAAGAUGUGUGUAAGUAUAAAUGCCAACAAUGAGUGGGUUGUCACAAGGUUUGUUAAGGAUCACAAUCACGUCUUUGUAUCUCCAAGGAAAGCCCAAUUCAUCCUAUCGCACCGAACAAUAUCGAAUACGAUAAAGACAAUGAUAGACUCCAUGAGCUCCGCUUUGGUAAAGUCUCGAAAUAUCUAUGAUAUCUUUUUAGAGCAAGAUGGAUGGAUCGAUAAUAUCCCUUUCUCAAAAAAAGACAUCAAAAACCAAAUAAGAAACAAGAAAAAAAAAUUCAAAAGGGAAGAUUGGAACCGUGCGAUGGAAUGGUUAAUUGAUAUGAAAAGAUUGAAUCCAUCUUUUUUCUAUAAGGUGAAAUUAGAUGAAGAAAGUCUUAUUGUCAACCUAUUAUGGGUAGAUGCCAUGUCAAGGGUGUUCUACAACCACUUUUCAGAUGUGGUCACUUUUGAUACCACGUAUAAGACAAAUUCUUUUGGCAUGCCUUUUGCUCCCAUACUUGGAGUGAAUCACCACCUUAGCACAAUAUUUUUUGGGUUUGUACUUAUAUUUGAUGAGAAGGUGGAAUCCAUUGUAUGGGUAUUUGAAAAUUAGCUUGAAGCAGUAGGUGGACGUCAACCGAGAGUCAUUAUCAUCGAUCAGGAUCCUCCAAUAACCGCUGUAGUGAGACAAGGUUUGAAUAAAAGCAGACAUCAUUAUUUUAAGUGGCACAUACUUUCAAAGCUCAAAGAAAAAUGGUGACAUGUCUUGCGAAGGAGUCUAUCUUUUUCAGACUAUUACAGGAACUGUAUAAUAAGUGAAACUAAGGAAGAAUUUGAGUCAGAAUGGAGAUCUUUAAUUGAGAAAUAUGAUCUUCAACAUAAUGAAUGACUCAAUAGAUUGUACAAAUGUCGAGAGCAAUGCAUACAUUGCAAAUGCAUUCAUAGCCAGUAUGUCUUCGAUUUAGAGAAGUGAAGAAAUGAAUAAGCACUUCAAAAAUUAUGUGACUUCCAAUACAAGCUUGUGCACAUUGUUGGAAACUACUGUAAAAGUGCAUGAUAAAAAACUUCUUAAGACAAGAGAAAAUGACUUAAAGAACAUCACAUCUACGCCUUUUUUGAGGACCGCGUGUGACAUCGAGGCGCACGCUUCGAAGAUAUAUACACACAAAGUUAUGAAGUUGUUUGGAGAAGAAGUUGCAGAAAGCAUCAAUUACAUGAGUGAAAUUAUCGAAGAGAAUGACACAGUUACAAACUUGGGCUGGGAUAGAGGCAGAGAAAGCGAAAGCGAAAGAGAAAGAAGUUACCGGAAAGUGCGCAGUUUGCAAAAAGAGUGGACAUGACAGAAAGAAUUGUCCAGCUGUCGCAUUUUUAAAGUAUGAAUGAACUAUUGUUCCAUCUUUCGUAUUUUUUAUGAUGGUAAUAUGAAUUCAUUAAUUAUAAAUAUUUGAAAUGGAUUUUUUUUCGUUUAGGUUAAAUGUCAAUAUAAGAUGCAUGGAUGGGUCAAGUGAGAAUGUGGAACACGAUAAGUAAUGGUAUGGACAAUGACCCCAUUGGGCAUUUGCUAACUACAUCUUGGGGCUCUUUGUAGCAAUUAGGUGACAGACACUUGUUGAUCUAGUGUUGUAAUUGUGACAAGCAUUAGAGAAUGGACGGCGUUGUGCACUCAUGUGUAAUUAGAAGUGAAGAAUGAAAUUCCAUUUCAGAACUAAAUGGUACAGGGGCUAGAUAAAGGUCAAAGGAAGAAAAAUAAACAGUAAACAUAUUGUAAUUGUAGUUUUCAGAGUGAUGAGGAACUAUACCUUUUUCCUAGACUUUGUUUGAUAAUUGUUGCGUAGCAGAGGGCAUGUACCUUUAACUAGGUUAGGUUUUUAAGAUUACUGGAUAUAAUAGUCCUUAUUAAUGUUAUCUUAAUUCUAUUGUUGUUUGGGGUUCACGUCUUCUUAUCUUAAUGCUAUUGUUGUUUGGGGUUCACUUCUUGUUAGUUAAUGCUAUUGUUGUUUGGGGUUCACUUCUUGUUAGUUAAUGCUAUUGUUGUUUGGGGUUCACUUCUUGUUAGUUAAUGCUAUUGUUGUUUGGGGUUCCUUUGAUUUUCACUUAAUUAUGAAAGAGGGGUGUUUUUCUGGUUUUCACAGAAAUAUGAAAGAGGGAUGAGCUGGUACAUGGAAGUACAUUGUUUAAAAACCAUCAAAAUUCACUGAAAAUCAAAAUACAGUUUCUCAUUUCUCGUGUGACUCAUUAAUAAGUACAGCUUCGGACUUGUUAAGCCACUAGCAGAGUCUAUUCAUAAAACUCACUGAGUUUUUAAAUGACUAGCCGGUGUCUACUUCUUUCUUUUGAUUGGUGAAGGAAGUAUGCAAUUUAUAACUUAUGGGGCAGAACUCAUCACCCUUAACAAUUAGAUACUAAGAAGGUACAACCAACGUGCUUCUGGAAAAGAAAUUCUCAUUUAUUAUCUUCUUCUAUGGUUUUUGAAUACUAUGUCAAAGACUCUGUUGAGCAUGCUUGAG